CGGACGGGUGAGUAACACGUGGAUAACCUACCUAUAAGACUGGGAUAACUUCGGGAAACCGGAGCUAAUACCGGAUAAUAUAUUGAACCGCAUGGUUCAAUAGUGAAAGACGGUUUUGCUGUCACUUAUAGAUGGAUCCGCGCCGCAUUAGCUAGUUGGUAAGGUAACGGCUUACCAAGGCAACGAUGCGUAGCCGACCUGAGAGGGUGAUCGGCCACAUUGGGACUGAGAUACGGCCCAG
rnacentral:rRNA from 1 species